UACGGAAGGCAGCAGUGGGGAAUAUUGCACAAUGGGCGCAAGCCUGAUGCAGCCAUGCCGCGUGUAUGAAAAAGGCCUUCGGGUUGUAAAGUACUUUCAGUCGUGAGGAAGGUGUUAAGGUUAAUAACCUUAGCAAUUGACGUUAGCGACAGAAGAAGCACCGGCUAACUCCGUGCCAGCAGCCGCGGUAAUACGGAGGGUGCGAGCGUUAAUCGGAAUUACUGGGCGUAAAGGGCACGCAGGCGGUUAAUUAAGUUGGAUGUGAAAUCCCCGGGCUUAACCUGGGAAUGGCAUUCAAGACUGGUUAGCUAGAGUCUUGUAGAGGGGGUAGAAUUCCAUGUGUAGCGGUGAAAUGCGUAGAGAUGUGGAGGAAUACCGGUGGCGAAGGCGGCCCCUGGACAAAGACUGACGCUCAUGUGCGAAAGCGGUGGGGAGCAAACGAGGGAUUAGAU
rnacentral:rRNA from 1 species